rnacentral:rRNA from 1 species
ACGGAAGGCAGCAGUGGGGAAUAUUGCACAAUGGGGGAAACCCUGAUGCAGCGACGCCGCGUGAGUGAAGAAGUAUUUCGGUAUGUAAAGCUCUAUCAGCAAGGAAGAAAAUGACGGUACUUGACUAAGAAGCUCCGGCUAAAUACGUGCCAGCAGCCGCGGUAAUACGUAUGGAGCAAGCGUUAUCCGGAUUUACUGGGUGUAAAGGGAGCGUAGACGGCAAAGCAAGUCCGAAGUGAAAUCCCGGGGCUCAACCCCGGAACUGCUUUGGAAACUGUUUAGCUAGAGUGCAGGAGAGGUAAGCGGAAUUCCUAGUGUAGCGGUGAAAUGCGUAGAUAUUAGGAGGAACACCAGUGGCGAAGGCGGCUUACUGGACUGUAACUGACGUUGAGGCUCGAAAGCGUGGGGAGCAAACAGGAUUAGAUACCCUGGUA